ensembl:lincRNA Gm44939 predicted gene 44939
GAAGGCGUCAUGCAGAGGAGUUGAGGCUGGGCACCAUGAAGGGAGCCUCUGAGAGGCUACUGGUGAAGCCUAGUUGCAGUGAGAAACCCCAUCAUGUUAGAGAUGCCAGUACCAUGGGAUGACCAUCAGGAACAGCAGCAACAGUGGAGUAGAAUCAACCAGACCCUGGAAUGCUACAGUGGGCAAAGCUAGAGAUAUGACCCAAACCCUUUGGAGGAACCCAGAAGAUAAUUUGUGGGUACCAGACAUUGGAACAAGAAGCUGUAACUUCAAUGUUGCCUUGGGGACGCCAAGAUGUUUGAGAUGCCAGAGUCAUGGGAUACCUGUUAUGGAAAACUACUAACAGGGAGUGGAACUAGCCACCAAAGAGAGUUGUGCUGCAGUCAACAAAGCAGAAAGGAGUUGGAUAUCAGAUGUGGAGAUGCUGAAUUUAGAGUUUUCCCAGCUGGUUUUUGGUCUUGCAUUGGUCCAGUAUUUCCUCAGUAUGAAGCUUUGGAAUGAUAAUGUAUAUCCUGUGACGGUGGAGAGCUGGCAGACAAGGCAUCAGAGUCUUGCCAAACAAACCCAACACUGCUUUCUUCAACUGCUCCAAUGGAUACAGGACUCUAGCAAGCAAAAGUGGCCUCACCAGGCUGAAGAGGGGCCACCCUGUCUCAUCUCCUGUUCUCCACAGCUCAGCGUGUGGCUGUCUACAGGUUUUCACCUCACUCUUUGCUUAUUCGAAAUCCAGCUACCUCAGACACCCUGGGUUCAGUCCUCCUGGUGCUCUCCAGGGUGCUCAGCACCCUGUCCCCAGCUGGUUUCCUCCACUUCC